UACGGGGGUGCAAGCGUUGUUCGGAAUUACUGGGCGUAAAGCGUACGUAGGCGGUUGAUUAAGUCAAAUGUUAAAGCCCGGGGCUCAACCCCGAGGAUGCAUUUGAUACUGGUCGACUAGAGGGCGAUAGAGGAAAGCGGAAUUCCGAGUGUAGCGGUGAAAUGCGUAGAUAUUCGGAGGAACAUCGGUAGCGAAAGCGGCUUUCUGGGUCGCUCCUGACGCUGAGGUACGAAAGCGUGGGUAGCAAACGGG
rnacentral:rRNA from 1 species